rnacentral:rRNA from 1 species
GAUGAACGCUAGCGGCAGGCUUAACACAUGCAAGUCGAGGGGCAGCAUAAUGAAGUAGCAAUACUGAAUUGAUGGCGACCGGCGCACGGGUGCGUAACGCGUAUGUAACCUACCUCUAACAGGGGGAUAACACUGAGAAAUUGGUACUAAUACCCCAUAACACUUGAUAGGGCAUCCUAUUGAGUUGAAAGUUCCGGCGGUUAGAGAUGGACAUGCGUUGUAUUAGCUAGAUGGUGAGGUAACGGCUCACCAUGGCGACGAUACAUAGGGGGACUGAGAGGUUAACCCCCCANACUGGUACUGAGACACGGACCAGACUCCUACGGGAGCAGCAGUGAGGAAUAUUGGUCAAUGGACGCAAGUCUGAACCAGCCAAGUAGCGUGAAGGAUGACUG